rnacentral:rRNA from 1 species
CCUACGGGUGGCAGCAGUGAGGAAUAUUGGUCAAUGGACGAGAGUCUGAACCAGCCAAGUAGCGUGAAGGAUGACUGCCCUAUGGGUUGUAAACUUCUUUUAUAUGGGAAUAAAAUGUUCCACGUGUGGGAUUUUGUAUGUACCAUAUGAAUAAGGAUCGGCUAACUCCGUGCCAGCAGCCGCGGUAAUACGGAGGAUCCGAGCGUUAUCCGGAUUUAUUGGGUUUAAAGGGAGCGUAGGUGGAUUGUUAAGUCAGUUGUGAAAGUUUGCGGCUCAACCGUAAAAUUGCAGUUGAAACUGGCAGUCUUGAGUACAGUAGAGGUGGGCGGAAUUCGUGGUGUAGCGGUGAAAUGCUUAGAUAUCACGAAGAACUCCGAUUGCGAAGGCAGUUCACUGGACUGCAACUGACACUGAGGCUCGAAAGUGUGGGUAUCAAACAGGAUUAGAUUCCCUAGUAGUC